rnacentral:rRNA from 1 species
GAUGAACGCUGGCUACAGGCUUAACACAUGCAAGUCGAGGGGAAACGACGGGGAAGCUUGCUUCCCCGGGCGUCGACCGGCGCACGGGUGAGUAACGCGUAUCCAACCUGCCUCUGACUGAGGGAUAACCCGUCGAAAGUCGGCCUAAUACCUCAUGGUAUCGUCUGCGGGCAUCCAACGACGAUUAAAGAUUUCAUCGGUCAGGGAUGGGGAUGCGUCUGAUUAGCUUGUUGGCGGGGUAACGGCCCACCAAGGCUACGAUCAGUAGGGGUUCUGAGAUGAAGGUCCCCCACAUUGGAACUGAGACACGGUCCAAACUCCUACGGGAGGCAGCAGUGAGGAAUAUUGGUCAAUGGGCGAGAGCCUGAACCAGCCAAGUAGCGUGCAGGAAGACGGCCCUAUGGGUUGUAAACUGCUUUUAUGCGGGGAUAAAGUGAGGGACGUGUCCCUCAUUGCAGGUACCGCAUGAAUAAGGACCGGCUAAUUCCGUG